ACUCACGCAACGCUGGAUCCCCAACCCACUGAGUGAGGCCAGGGAUCGAACCCAUAUCCUCAUGGAUACUAGUCGGAUUUGUUUCCACUGUGGUAUGACGGGAACUCCCUGUGCUCUUAUCUCCAGGGCACAUCAGCCACAUCGACAGUUGCUACGUUGUACUGAAAUAUGCCGCCCCCAUGACCGAGGCGGGGAGACAGUGGUUGGAAAAGCAUGGGCUCCACGAGUUACCAGGAACCUAACGCCAGACACACAGCAGACGGUGGAUAAUGAUGAGGAUUCUGAUGGCGGUGGCCGCUAGUGAUACACUAAGAGAACAGGCCCUCGAGCCAGACUGCCUGGCUUCAAAUCUUGACUCCACUACCCACUAGCUGUGCACUUUUAGGGCAAAUUACUUAAUUUCUCUGGGCCUCGGUUUCUUCAUUUAUUAAAUGGGGUUAAUAAAAUACCUAUUUCAC